ACGGGUGAGUAACGCGUGAGUAACCUGCCUUACACAAGGGGAUAGCCGUUGGAAACGACGAAUAAUACCCUAUGAAACUAUCACUUCGCAUGAAGCGAUAGUCAAAGUGUUAGCGGUGUAAGAUGGACUUGCGUCUGAUUAGCUAGUUGGUGAGAAAAAGCCACCAAGGCAACGAUCAGUAGCCGGCUUGAGAGAGUGUACGGCCACAUUGGGACUGAGACACGGCCCAG
rnacentral:rRNA from 1 species